GGAACACGGGAAACAACCGGGCUGCAGUUCACAGCGUUAACAACCUGAAACAACAGCCGGAAACAACCGGAAACAGGAAUCAGGGACACGGGAAACAACCGGGAAUCACCACGUUCACCACCUGAAACUACAGCCGGAAACAACCGGAAACGGGAAUGAGGGACACGGGAAACAACCGGGAAUGAUGGCGUUCACCACCUGCCCCGGGAACCGGGAAUGACGGAGUGAGGGAAUGGGAAUGGGAACAGGAACGGGAACGGGAACAGGAACGGGAAUGGGAACGGGAAUGGGAACGGGAAUGGGAACGGGAAUAGGAACGGGAAUGGGAACAGGAACGGGGCUGCCCAGAAGCUGCAGAGCUCAGGCUCCCUGGAGUGUCCAAGGCCGGGUUGGGCGGAGCCUCCGGUGACUCCAUGGGAGCGGCCACAGGAACAGAGUGACCCCACAGUGACCCCAGAGUGACCCCACAGGAACAGAGUGACCCCACAGUGACCCCUGAGUGACCCCUGAGUCACCCCACAGGAACAGAGCGACCCCACAGGAACAGAGUGAGCCCAAAGUGACCCUGAGUGACCCCACGGUGACCCCAGAGUGACCUCAGAGUGACCCCACAGGAACAGGGCGACCCCACAGGGAUCAGAGUGACCCCAGAGUGACCCCAGAGUGGUCCCCAAUCCAUCCCAGUUCUUCCCAGUCCGUACCCAGUUGAGGCUGGGCUCGCGGCUGAACUCGUGGCUCUCCCAGUUCCUCCCAGUCCAUCCCAGUCCCUCCCAGUCCGUACCCAGUUGAGGCUGGGCUCGUGGCUGAACUCGUGGCUCUCCCAGUCCCUCCCAGUCCAUCCCAGUUCCCCCCAGUCCCUCCCAGUUGAGGCUGGGCUCGCAGCUGAACUCGUGGCUCUCCCAGUUCCUCCCAGUUCCCCCCAGUCCGUACCCAGUUGAGGCUGGGCUCACGGCUGAACUCGUGGCUCUCCCAGUUCCUCCCAGUCCAUCCCAGUCCCUCCCAGUCCAUCCCAGUUCCCCCCAGUCCGUACCCAGUUGAGGCUGGGCUCGCGGCUGAACUCGUGGCUCUCCCAGU
rnacentral:lncRNA from 1 species